UACGGAGGGAGCUAGCGUUGUUCGGAAAUACUGGGCGUAAAGCGCACGUAGGCGGCGCAGCAAGUCAGGGGUGAAAUCCUGGAGCUCAACUCCAGAACUGCCUUUGAUACUGAGGAUCUUGAGUUCGGGAGAGGUGAGUGGAACUGCGAGUGUAGAGGUGAAAUUCGUAGAUAUUCGCAAGAACACCAGUGGCGAAGGCGGCUCACUGGCCCGAUACUGACGCUGAGGCACGAAAGCGUGGGGAGCAACAGGG
rnacentral:rRNA from 1 species